rnacentral:rRNA from 1 species
UGAGACACGGUCCAGACUCCUACGGGAGGCAGCAGUGAGGAAUAUUGGUCAAUGGACGCAAGUCUGAACCAGCCAAGUAGCGUGCAGGAUGACGGCCCUCCGGGUUGUAAACUGCUUUUAGUUGGGAAUAAAAAGAGGGACGUGUCCCUCAUUGUAUGUACCUUCAGAAAAAGGACCGGCUAAUUCCGUGCCAGCAGCCGCGGUAAUACGGAAGGUCCAGGCGUUAUCCGGAUUUAUUGGGUUUAAAGGGAGCGUAGGCGGAUUAUUAAGUCAGUGGUGAAAGACGAUGGCUCAACCAUCGUUAGCCAUUGAAACUGGUAGUCUUGAGUGCAGACAGGGAUGCUGGAACUCGUGGUGUAGCGGUGAAAUGCUUAGAUAUCACGAUGAACUCCAAUCGCGAAGGCAGGUGUCCGGGCUGCAACUGACGCUGAGGCUCGAAAGUGUGGGUAUCAAACAGGAUUAGAUACCCUGGUAGUCCACACAGUAAACGAUGUAUACUCGCGGUUUGCGAUACAAUGUAAGCCGCCAAGCGAAAGCAUUAAGUAUACCACCUGGGGAGUACGCCGGCAACGGUGAAACUCAAAGGAAUUGACGGGGGCCCGCACAAGCGGAGGAACAUGUGGUUUAAUUCGAUGAUACGCGAGGAACCUUACCCGGGAUUGAAAUGUAGAUGACCGCUCCUGAAAGGGAGUUUUCCUUCGGGACAUCUAUGUAGGUGCUGCAUGGUUGUCGUCAGCUCGUGCCGUGAGGUGUCGGCUUAAGUGCCAUAACGAGCGCAACCCCUUUCUUCAGUUGCCAUCAGGUGAUGCUGGGCACUCUGUAGAUACUGCCACCGCAAGGUGUGAGGAAGGUGGGGAUGACGUCAAAUCAGCACGGCCCUUACGUCCGGGGCUACACACGUGUUACAAUGGGGGGUACAGAAGGUCGCUACCUGGUGACAGGAUGCUAAUCUUUAAAACCUCUCUCAGUUCGGAUCGGAGUCUGCAACCCGACUCCGUGAAGCUGGAUUCGCUAGUAAUCGCGCAUCAGCCAUGGCGCGGUGAAUACGUUCCCGGGCCUUGUACACACCGCCCGUCAAGCCAUGGGAGUCUGGAGUACCUAAAGUCCGUAACCGCAAGGGUCGGCCUAGGGUAAUACAGGUGACUGGGGCUAAGUCGUAACAAGGUAGCCGUACCGGAAGGUGCGGCUG